rnacentral:lncRNA from 1 species
UGUGGUUCAGUCUCUCAUUUAAGUUCGGAUCUUGAUGAGACCUUGAUUCCCUGGCUUGAGCUAUCGCCCCAUUAGUGUCAUAGUGUCGGUACACUAGAGACACUUUCUGGUUGAAACCGAAUAGAGAGUUCAUAAAUGAACUUUCCCAUCCAAACAACAUUGUUGUAAGCUUCUAUAUGACAAUAUAUUUUGCAUUCAUAAUGGAACACACUAAAGUCAUU